GGCCGCCUGGCGAAAUGGCAUCGCGUCUGACUACGAUUCAGUGUUCAUCAGGAGAUUGCAGGUUCGACCCCUGCGGUGGUCA
rnacentral:tRNA from 1 species